rnacentral:lncRNA from 1 species
UGUCCUAUUUUCAAGCAUUGAUUCAUUAUUAAAAAGCUAUUGCGCCAUUAAGAAAGGCUUUCUGAUGGGCUGGAGCAAGAAAACAAAGAGAGCCAAAAACCAUGUUUCCUCCCACAACGGUGUCUUCUUCAACCUUGUUCUUUGGGGAACCACAAUCAGCAGUGAGAUGGAGUAACAGAUUUGGCAAGUAGGUGAAGAGAUUUGUCAAAUAUAAAGAGUUAUGUGAAAGGAACUGAUGAGACUCAAGGGCAAAAUAGACAAAUGGUGUUGUGUGCUUAUGUGGUAGAGAGACUCAAUUUCAAGAAGUUAGGAAUAGCCACUUAUUUCAUAAUCAAUUUUGAAUAUGGAAACGUACGACGACGGUAGAGUGUGGGAGGAGAACCAAAAAUGUUGAAAUCGCGUUUGAUAAGUAGAAAGCGCCUUUGAUUGUUUUCACUGGGUAACCAAACAAACACUUGAUAUGAAGGGGCAAGGGUGGAGGAUGUUCGACUUAGAGACCAAGAGGGGAUGGAUGAGCUUUUGAAUAAGUAAGUGUAGCUUCUGGAGGGGGUGAGUUAUGGUGAUUAUUCUAAUAAGUGGUUAUGGCGAAUGAUUAGUGAUGGUGAGUUCUCGGUAAAGUCGACUUAUGAUAUGUUGGAAGACUUGUUGUUGGAAGGUAGUAAGGGUGAUGUGGAGGAUAGAGUGUUCAAGGUGUUGUGGAAAAGUCCAGCUCAUCAAAAGUGAUUGCAUUUUCUUGAAAGCUUCUUCUUGAUCGUGCUCCGACUAGGU